AAUAGCCUGACGGCUGAACCAGCAACUUGGAGGAAUGUAUAGUGAGAACUAAUUGCACAAUAUGCAAUAUCGACUCUGUUGAAUAAAAUUCUGGGUGGAAUUAUGAUAAUGACAUUGUCUGCCCAUGUGUCUUGACCAAAUUACGUGCCAGCAGUCGCGGUAAUACGUAGAAGACUAGUGUUAUUCAUCUUUAAUAGGUUUAAAGGGUACCUAGACAGUAAAUAAAGCCAUAAGGGACUAGUUUGCUAGAGUUACUUAUGAGGGGGUUGAAAUGUACUAGUGGUGUAGAGAUAAAAUUUGUUGAUACCUUUUUCCUAGAGAGACAUAUGGCACAGAUAUAGGCGAAAGCGUCUCCUUAUGUGAUACCCUGGUAGUCGGCAGCAGAAAAUGAUGAGUGUCAUAGAUUAUUUUAUUCUAUAAAUGAAAGUGUAAGCAUUCCACCUCAAGAGUAAUUUGGCAACAUUGGAACUGAAAUCAUUAGACCGUUUCUGAAACCAGUAGUGAAGUAUGUUGUUUAAUUUGAUAACCCGCAAAAAACCUUACCAUAGAUAUUUAAAAGCGUUGCACGGCUGUCUUCAGUUAAUGUCGUGAGACUCUGGUUAGUUCCAUAAAAUUAACGUAAACCCUUACUUUAUUUUUACAUAAAGUUGUUCCCCACUAGAUUGGAUAUGAUAACAGGGAUCAAGACAAGUCAUCAUGGCCUAUUAUGUUAUGAACCUUACAAAAGGAUGUGAAAUUGUGAAAUUGAGCUAAUCCCACA
rnacentral:rRNA from 1 species